GGCUGAAGGCGCUCCCCUGCUAAGGGAGUAUGGGGUUUAUAGCUCCAUCGAGGGUUCGAAUCCCUCUUUCUCCG
rnacentral:tRNA from 1 species